CCUACGGGAGGCUGCAGUAGGGAAUCUUUCACAAUGGGCGAAAGCCUGAUGGAGCAACGCCGCGUGCAGGAUGAAGGCAUACGGGUUGUAAACUGCUUUUAUAAGCGAGAAAUAUGAUGGUAACUUAUGAAUAAGGAUAGGCUAACUACGUGCAAGCAGCGGCGGUCAUACGUAGGAUCCGAGCAUUAUCCGGAGUGACUGGGUGUAAAGAGUUGCGUAGGUGGCAUAAUAAGUAGCUAGUGAAAUCUGGUGGCUCAACCAUUCAGACUAUUAGCUAAACUGGUAAGCUCGAGACCGUUAGGGGUAACUGGAAUUUCUAGUGUAGGAGUGAAAUCCGUAGAUAUUAGACGGAACACCAAUAGCGUAGGCAGGUUGCUGGGACGGUUCUGACACUAAGGCACGAAAGCGUAGGUAGCAAACGGGAUUAGAUACCCGUGUAGUC
rnacentral:rRNA from 1 species